rnacentral:rRNA from 1 species
GCAUUAGCUAGUUGGUGAGGUAACGGCUCACCAAGGCGACGAAGCGUAGCCGACCUGAGAGGGUGAUCGGCCACACUGGGACUGAGACACGGCCCAGAAUCCUACGGGAGGCAGCAGUAGGGAAUCUUCCGCAAUGGACGAAAGUUUGACGGAGCAACGCCGCGUGAGUGAAGAAGGUUUUUGGAUCGUAAAACUCUGUUGUUAAGGAAGAACAAGUACCGUUCGAAUAG